GCAUUUUCACAUUUUAACUGAAGCUUAUGAGGGCACACGAUUUUUAAAAAGAGAGUGACCCACAUCGAUAGACUAUUUACAAUAAACGCUGCAAUAUUUCAUGAAAAAAUAGGCAUUGUUAUUUUUGAUUUCACUGGGACUUUAAAAGGUUCGCACGUGAAUCAUAGUGAAAUUUUUUGAUGCGAUUAAAAAGAAUUUACUCACCAAUUGAAACAUCAUAAGACAAAAGAGUGAGGUAUAAACAACUUCAUUGGGUAAUUUUAAAUGAUACCACCAUAUAGAUGAAUAUCUUAUAUAGAGAUGAAGCGAAAACAUGACAGCGACUGUAGUGCUUUGAAAGGGAAGGGUGGAGUGAGCCAUUUGUUGCCAUUCGCAACCUCACCGCUAGAUGGUGCUAAAUUUCAUACACGGAACCUUUAAGUCACUAGAAAAUGUAAGCAUGACAUGGGUUAUUUUUAUAAAAUUUCAGAUUUGCAUUCUUGAACAUUCUCAGAUCCUGGACCAACAUGAUCAUAUCAGGUUUUGUUCGAAUCCAUAACAGCAUGUGUGCAUGCUGCCAUCAGAGCAAAAGAGGGACGUACCACAAAUUUAGAAAUCUGUUUUAUUUUUAAAUGAAACAUUUUCUCUUAUGCUGAUAAAAUACUUGUUGUAAUGAAAAUUGAAUUCAAUUUCAUUCGAAUGCAAAAGAGAAGCAUUUUCACAAGUGGCCUCAGACUCUUGGACCAUGCUGUAAAUAUCCUGUAUGACAGAGAUAAAGAUUUUACAGCAUCAGCUCUAAGUGAGCGCGAGCGAGAGAGAGGCACAGUCCUCAUUUAGGAUAGUGGACCUAUUUAGCCUGACGACCAUUAAAUAUGAAUUAAAAACCACACAGGCCUUUUUGCCUCUAAAAUGUCAUUACGCAUGUUUAUGGCAAGCGAUUGUUGAAUAAGCAUUUCGCAGGACUCCCCGGGGUGGGCGAUGCUGGAUGAGGGAGCUUCAGCGGGUGCCACAGGGGUAGAUGCGUGUAGCACUAACAGAAGCUCUGGAAAAUAAGCAGCGGUAAUAGCCACUGAAAUGGAAUUUACAUUAAGAGCCCUGAAGGACUGGAACACUUCUGGUUUGGGCUGUGUGUGGUGCUUAUGGGGGAGGAGGGGUCGGGGGGACAUUUCCUCUCUCGGCCGGGCAAAAAGAAAAUGAAAUUGCAGUAUUGUAGCAGCAGGUACAAGAAGCUUUAAUGGAGAUUCAUUGUAAAUGUUUCCUCCAAACGCAGUAACAUGCAGCGUGCACAUUUUUCAGGUUAUAUUAUUUUAUUACAUUUAUUUACAGCUGUAUAUUAAAGCAGAUUCAUACAAAGUUGAAGGUUUUCACAGAGGUUGUGAAUGUGGUCUGGUGUACCGUGCACUAACUGGGUGCGACAUCACCAUUAUGCUGCAUUGUAAAUGGUUUCGCCCAAGGGAUAGUUCGCCCAAAACUGAAAAUUCUGUCAUCUACUCACCCUCAUGUCAUUUCAAACCUGUAUGUCUUUUUUUCUUCUGCAGUACACAAAAGAAGAUAUUUUGAAGAAUGUUGGUAACCGAACAACACUGGCCCCCAUUGACUUCCAUUGUAUAGACACAAAAGACACCACUGAGACACUUCUCAAAUUAUCUAUUAUAUACAAGUUUUAAACGACAUUCUGGAUAAUGGACAAAUUUUUAUUUUGGGGGAAACUUUGUCACAUGACAGCAUGGCCACAUCCAUUUGCACAGGUGAUUCAAUCUAAAGAAUUAAGAAUGAAACUUGCAGACAGACUAGAGGGGAUGUCUUCCAGGUAAACAUAUUCAACUAAAUUAAAUUUAACUGUCCUUUUUCAUCUUGGAAACGUGCCCUAGCAAGCCAGUCAUUGUAUUUCUUAGAGUCUCGCGAAGGGCACCGGCUCCCUCCAUCAGUACAAAAGAACACUCCUUCACUGCCCUGACUCCUGUUCAACCACAGUUUUCAAGUCUGUGCUCUAAUUCACCUCCACUUUGUAGCUGAACCCGUCAGUCACAUGGCACAAAAGACUCACUGUGCCUCUUAGGGCCACUGGAUGUGUAUUAGAGCAAUUUAGUGUAAUUUACAUUUUGCUGCAGGUCCCAUUGUAGAGACCUGUCUAAAACUCACUGGGGUGCAUUAAACCUGCCUUACACUUUCUUUUUUGCUGCCGUUAAUGGGCUCAACUUAAUGAGAGAAUGGUCUUCUAAUUGCGAAGCAUUUGCCUUGGAAAAUUGCACCUUUUUACCGCAUAAGUUAAGUUGAAUAACUUAGAAAAGAUCAAAAAUCUGAAGGAAAUGGUCCUGGCCGUCUGCUUCUAAGCUUCACGGUGGAUUUUGUUGCGUACAUUUUUUAAGCACUGUAUGAAGCAUAAAGGCUAAAUAAUACGAUAUAAAAAUAAAAUAAUAAAUAAGUUUCUUAUAACUGCUUUACUGUAGAUUAACAACAUUACAAUUAACAGGAUGUUUAACUAAAUGUUUUGGAUUUGUGACUAUUUAUAAUUAUAUGAUUUAUGGCAAAGAAUUUGCAUUUCAAAGUCCCUGUGUGACACAUCACAUUUGAUAUAUACAGCCGCAGAAAAAAAUUAAGAGACCAUUUUAAAAUUCAAAGUUUUACUAUUUAUAGGUUUGCGUUUAGGUAAAAUGAUCGUUUUUGUUUCAUUCUGUGAACUACUAACUAUAUUUCUCCCAAAUUUCAAAUAAAAAUAUUGUUUAUAAUUGCAUUUAUUUUCAGAAAACGAAAACAGGAGAAACAGGUGAAAAUAACAAGAGGUGCUCUGUAUCUUUUCAGACCUCAAAUACUGCAAAGAAAGCAAGUUCAUAUUCACUUUUAAGCUAUACAACAGUAAUAUUUGUACAUGCAUUUAGGAAAAGUUAAAAAAAAAUGUUUUUUAUGAGAUAACCUGGAUUUUUAUGUCUUGUCAUGCUGUCAGUCUUUCACAUUGCUGAUGGAUGACUUUGUUACUCCUGGGUUUUGAUUUAGUUGAAAUUCAACAAACACUGGACUGGAAUGACCACAAUACAUCUAGAAAUGCUGAUUAAAUGAAAAUUGUAUUUGUAAGUUGCUUUGGAUAAAAGCGUCUGCUAAAUGACUGAAUGUAAAUGUAAAUUUGGACUGGUCUCUUUUUUUUCUACGCGGCUAUAGUAUUAAUUCAAAUAUCUUCUCUUUUUAUCAGUUAUUUAUAUUUGUUAAAAGUAAAGUAAAAAGCAGGUUUAGGUAAUUAGGAUAGUUUUGAAACUUUAUCAAAAGAUCGUUUACUAAUGUAUACGGUAGCCUAAUGAACUAUAAAACAUGCACCAAAAUGGUGAUCCCAUAAUGCCUGGAAUGUUAUUAUCAUGUUUUUACAGAACAUUUCUGAAACCACUUUUUUGCUCAAAGCACAUAUAGUGUUCAACUUCAGUCUCAACAUUUCCAAAAUUGAACUCGUGUGACCAAAAAAAAACAGUAAGAAAUGACCUUGCUUGUCAUUAAAUAAAAACUAAUUCAUACAGAUUGCGUACAUUCAUUAUAAAUGAUUUAGAUGGCUAAUGAAUUAUAAUGCAAAUGAGUUAUUAGUAAACAAUUGCAAAAUCUGAACCUAAAGUCAUUUCAAAUCAGAACUGAAUGCUUUUAAAGAGUCUGCUUAUUUCGCUACAUCAAGUUUAAUUCGCUUGGCACUGCUCCUUUUAGCCCAAAAAUGGCCUUUGGUUUCCAAGGAGGCCAUUGUGUUUUCUCCAUCGCUUAGCAACUAUCACCAAGGCCACCGCUUCACUGUUGCUGAGGCACAGGACUGCCUGCACAGCUACUCUUUCUCUUUAAGUGCAUCUGUAUGCUUACUGUACUAUACAUAUUUAUUAAAAUGAACCUAUGGCCUAUGUUAAAUAUGCACAUAUGGUCUAAAAAUUAAAAUUAACAAACAAUAAACAAUUUAAAAGAUACUGUACAUGACAUAUCUAUUUAAUGCACAUUAAAUGAAAGAUGUUAAUUAAACAAAUAGAAUUUAUGCUUGUACAGUCAGGCAAGAACUAACAAAGCUUAUGACACAGAAGAAGAUAAAGUAUAUACGCCGAAAUAUAAAAGAUGGGACUUUUACGCUGAAAAGGUUUUCUGAGUGAAAUUUCGUUGACGUCAUUUUUACACAAUAUCCUUGAAUAGCACCUGUGUGCAGUGGGGGUUGUCUGUCUUUCAGCUUUGAGUAAAAAACAUAACCCAUGUCUACAAAACCUACCCCUUAGUAUCCACCACUGACCAGAGACACAGAACGUUCCUCAUACCAGAGGCCCCUGAAGAUCGCAGACCUCCGGUCCACCAGUCUUUCCAGAGCAAACCUGUAGAUUCGUCUCCAGAUCUACAGAUUUGUGCUAAAGCACCUUGGGGUUUGUCUCAAUACUCCAUUCAACCGCCUCUGUUUUAUUUUCAAGUGCUCCUUCAAUUAUCAGCGGGAGACUUCUUUUUCCUCUUCUUGUCUUUUUUUAUUUUUCUGUCUUUUUGUCAAGACAAGUCCUUUCGACUCUUAACUGACUCUUUUGACAGACGCACAAUGGCUGCACAUGGUGAGUACCGAACGUUUGGUUUUAUUUUAGUUUGUUUUUAUGAUGUCAUUGUACGAAAGGCAUGCUUUAUUUGUAAAAUGAAAUGUUGCCACAUACCACCCGAUUCAUUUUAAUUCAUGUUUAGGUCACCAGGUUUUAAGGACUUUGAAUAUGUACUGCAGAAUACAGUAUAUGGACCGAGCUGAGGUGGUCUAGCGAUUCAGACGAAGGACACAGUUUUCUUCAAUUGUUUGUUUAUUUACCUAUUUUUUAUUCUCUUUUUCUUUUUUUCAAAACAAGCAGAUGUUUUGCUGUUCACGCACUGCGUCACCAAUUGAAGUGACUGUCUUCUGGGGCAGGAUGGCUUUGGUCUUCUCAGCCAUAAACUUGAUCAUGUCUUCAACUUGGGUCUGGACCAUGUCACUCAGAGGGGCGACCUGAGCCUGGACGGAGGCGGCCAGUGGCCUGAUGUGCUCUUCAAUGUUGGAAAGAGGCUUCAGCUGCUCCUGGAGCUUCUCAACCAUGGGCUGGAACUGGGCUGUGCUCUCCUCAAAGGCCCUCGACAUUCUUCAGAUUGUCCACGAGGUCUUGGAAGUACUUGGCGAUCUUCUCGAGCUCAGCGGGAGCCUCUCUUUUGACCAGAGAUAUUGACUCAGAACCUGAAACGGG